rnacentral:lncRNA from 1 species
GGGUGGGGAUGAACCUUGGAGACUAGCCGGGUAUAUAUCAUUCAAAUCCAUUUGAACAUUUGGAAAUAGUUUUAAAUUGAUGUAUCCUUAACUUCAACAUAAACAUAAAUCAAUGGUUCCACUACCAAGGGGUGAAAAAUAUGUUUAGAUUUGCAAAACCUCAAAUGAAAACAAAGAAUGUUAUUUACAAACAUAUAUCAUAUUUUUGUUCUUUAAUAUUCAAUAUAAAAC